GAAUGUGAGGGUGACCUGGCUGUGACCCUGCCACACCAUUGAUUUCCAAGGCCCAUUAGACUGAUGUGGUGGCCCAGUGUCUUCUUUCUCCUUCACCUCCAUGUACCUCCAUCAAGCUUUAAGUUACUGGCUCAGACAACAGAAAUGUCCUCUCUCUGAUAAGAGAGGAUUUGUCCUUGGUAGGUG
rfam:Ovis aries breed Texel chromosome 1, whole genome shotgun sequence.